rnacentral:lncRNA from 1 species
UAAAAACCAAGUAAUGCCAGCAACCACCAAAAGCCGGAAGAAUCGAAGAACAGAUUCUCCAAUGGAACUUCUGGUGGAAGUGAAGCUCUACCAACACUUUGAUUUCAACCCAGUGAAAUUGAUUUUACAUUCCUAUUAUCCUCUGCAGAACUGUGAGAGAAUAUAUUUCUGUUGUUUUAAGCCACUGAGUUUGUGAUAAUUUGUUAUAGCGGCCAAAAGAAACCAAUUUAAUAGGACUUCAUUAUUCCAGGUUAAAUUGCACUCCUGGGAGUACAAUUGCCAGGAUGUACAGAAGCUACUAGAGAUGUUUUUCCUACCAAAAGGAAGAAGUAAACCAAGAAAGAUGAAGAUGUGGAAUGCGGAAAAUAGGAGACACAACACAAGAGAGAGAGAAAUUCUUAAAAGUGUAGUGAUGGAAAAUCCUAGGAUGAGAAAAUUGAAUCAGGCCUAGAGGGCAACCAGUCAAGACAGUUGCAGGGAAGCAGCUUACAAGAGAGUGUUCUUCAAGGUGAGAGCAUUUGCACAACAAUUGAUGUGAAUAAAAGUCUUGAUAUGAGAUUUAAAAAAUUAGUAAGGAAUUUUCAAUUGAGUUAGCACAAAUUAAAAUAAAAUUAAGUUGAAAUUCAACAACAAAA